AGGUGAUCAGCAUUUAUCCUAUAAAUAUUCAUUCAGAGAGGCGGCUGUCCCUUUAGGAGGUGUCUUCUCUGAGAGCUCCAGCUUUAGGUUGCAAACCAGUGAAAUAUCUUUGGCUACCCUAAGCAUGCUGGAACUGGAGGAGAUUAAGGGACAUCAAGGGUCACCAGAAGAUGGAAUUCAAAUCAGUCUCUCUGCCUUGAGAUCCAAUGUUCUAGAUUUUGAUUUCUCAUUCUCUCGGCACCUUCAGAAAUAAGGACUGCAAUCAUGUGAUGGACAGGUAAAAACAACUCAGCCAGUUGAAGAUUCAUUGGAACCCCAUCGACUGCAAUCAGGAGACUGGGUUUAUUACUGUAACCGUAUCAGGAAAUCCCCUUUGGAACCAAGAUUGAAAGGAUCUUUUCAAGUACUGCUCACAUCGCCGACAUCAGUAAAAUUGGACGGCAAAUCAUACUGGGUGCAAGCAUCACACUGCAAACCAUCAGUUACUCCAUCUCAGCAAUCAGUGUCCGAAGCAAAACCAUUAUACUUCCAGUAAAGAAAAGCCCUUCAUUGACCAGAUCCAGAGCAUGACAACUACAGCCACAGAUUGACAGCAUCCUAUGCACUGACUGGGUGUAGUGGUUUGCCUAGUGAGACAUUGUAGUAAGAGUGUGUACGGCAUAACAUUUUUCGUUACAGAUGGCUGUUCUGAGAGUUAUCUCCUUUCAAACUAACCAUGAUUGCUGUAUUUUUUAUUGUGUAUUUCAGCACUAUGCUUUAUCCAAAAGUAAACCCAUUUGAAAAAAAUUUGUCUUACAUUUACACCACAAGGUUGCAAAAGCAGUAAAGGCUAGUGACUGCUGGAUUUGCUCUCCAUUCCCCACCAAUGGAUGUGUCCCUAUUCUUGUUGGUUUAUUUGUUUAUUUCUGCAAAGAGAGGAACAUUCCCCAUUAUAGUUUUCCAAAAUGUAGGAAAUGCAAGUGUCUACAAAGGGUGCAGACCCAUUUAUUGAUGACGUCAGAGACAUGUGCUCCCCCAGAGCUACCUCCUUAUGUCUUUAUAGAAAUUGGCCUAUUGAUUAUUAUCAGAUUCAAAAUAAACUCCCUGGAUCUGACCCAAAUGGGAAUAAAACCACUUCCACUGGAUCUGAAAGAAAUUGGGUAAAAAGCACAAAUAGUACUAUCCAUAACGGCUCAUUUGCUUUAGGAACAAAGAUUGUCAAUGGUCUACUCAGUUAUCCACAACUAGAUACAAAGCUUUUGGAUUAUGUUCAAAAGGAUAUUCCCUUCUUUAUGCCUCGAGAAUUUUAUCUGAUCGUUGUUUAUAAAAACCAGUGAUGCCAUAGCUGAGCUUGAUGAGGAACAGGCACAAAUAAGAAAGGUGGUGUUACAGAAUAGAAUGGCCCUUGAUUUCAUUCUAGCUAAAGAAUGUGGAGUCUGCACCCUUAUUGGAAUUGAUUGUUGUACUUCUAUUGUUGAUUAUCAUAAUUCUAUUUCCAAUAUUACACGCCUGGAAGGUCAUCUCAGAAAAGAAGAUCCCUGGUCCCUCAAGAGUUGUUUUGGAAGUUUCUGGGUAUCUAUUGUGUCCACUAUUCUGGAAGUUGCUGCCUUUAUUUGUUUAAUUAUACUCAUUCUCUUUAUUAUCAGAGUGUUGAUUUUGAAAGCUACGUCUUUCAGUGUAUCCCAUCCCAAAUGUUAUUAACCAAUAUGCCCAGCUUAUGGUAAUGUCUUAAAUCAAUGUCCCCUCUGAAGUGCACAUUAUUGAGGAUCACGGUAUAAUAUUCAAUGAUUGACCCAAUACUCUCAAUGAUUCUAAAUAUAUUCCCAUGGUCCCAGUCCCUUCUUAUACCCCAUAAAAUUGAUGAAAACAAUAUUUUAAAAGGGGGAACUGUUGAAUCCUGAUUAGUAACUGAGGCCUAAAUUGCCUUUCAUUUGCUGCUGUUGUGACUUUUCAUCUAUUGUUAAUCUUUUCUGCAAUCAUAUAUUGUAUAUAACGCAUAUAUUUUCAUAUAACAGUAAUGAUUUUAUAAGAUGCAGCUUUUUGCAGAAUGUAAAAGGGCAACAUUUUACUUAUAUAUCUAUAUAUACCCGUUAAAUCUGCUUUUAAAAAUCGACAUUCAUCUUGUUGUAAUCGUAUGUAAUUGGUUAUUUGACACUAUAAAAGCUAUUCCUUAUGACCA